rnacentral:rRNA from 1 species
CCUACGGGAGGCAGCAGUGAGGAAUAUUGGUCAAUGGGCGAGAGCCUGAACCAGCCAAGUCGCGUGAAGGAUGACUGUCUUAGGGAUUGUAAACUUUUUUUAUACGGGAAUAACCAGAGCCACGUGUGGCUCCCUGCAUGUACCGUAUGAAUAAGCAUCGGCUAACUCCGUGCCAGCAGCCGCGGUAAUACGGAGGAUGCGAGCGUUAUCCGGAUUAAGUGGGUUUAAAGGGUGCGUAGGCGGCCUGUUAAGUUAGCGGUGAAAUCGAGGAGCUUAACUCCUAAAUUGCCAUUGAUACUGGCGGGCUUGAGUGUAGAUGAGGUAGGCGGAAUGCGUGGUGUAGCGGUGGAAUGCAUAGAUAUCACGCAGAACUCCGAUUGCGAAGGCAGCUUACUAAGGUACAACUGACGCUGAAGCACGAAAGCGUGGGUAUCAAACAGGAUUAGAUACCCCGGUAGUC